AGUCAGCGUCCAUCACACUGGAAAUGAUACAGAGGUUCUUUGUGAGGAUCCAGACAUGGGAACAAAAUGCCCUGCAAAACUUGGUACAAGCCGCAAGACAGGUCGUGUCGUAAAGAGGAAGGUUACAAGCAUCAGCCCUCGGAUCACCACCUUCCUCCAGCGGCUCUCUGGAGGACUUCCAACUAGGUGGUGAUGAAGACUACGUGAACCCGACCAUCCUGGUAACGGAAAUCUAAAUCCCAUGUCACUUUCUAUUUCCUGAGACCCACUGAUAAUUAUUAUAUUUUGUAAAUGAUUUUUGUUUUACAAUUGUAAUAGUUUAUUUAAUGUUCAUGCUGGUGGGUUUGUCCUGUUUUUAGUGGAAUGAAAAACUGUUUUCCUUAAAAAAAUCAGACACAGAAAGGUGAAGGACUGUGUAGUUUUCAUGUACGCUUCUAUUUAUUUUGGUUAUUGACAUUGUUUUUAUUCAGUUGAAAAAUGUUUUUCUUGUUAAAAAAAAUUAUCAACAAUAAAUGUUGGUUUAAUUCA